UUGGUGUGUUCUUCUUAAUAUCUUGAUUAUCUAUGGCAAUUUUUAAAAAAAUAUUUAUUUAUUUAUAGGUGUAGAUAGACACAACACAAUGCCUUUAUUUUUAUGUGGUGCUGAGGAUUGAACCCGGGUCCUGCCCGUGCUAGGCGAGCACUCUACCACUGAACCACAAUCCCAGCCCCAAUCUAUGGCAAUUUUAAUAUUUUUAACUUUAUAUGACUGUUUUGUAGCAAUUGUGCUUAACUUUAAAUUGAAAAAAAAGUAAUUCUCGAAUGCCUCCUAUGCAUAGGAACUGUGGCUGGUACUAUGAUGAGAAGGAUGUUUGUAAAACUCAGGCUAAAAAUAAGGAGUUUAUAACAUGAGUACAAGUUUCCAUAAUGUAAGGUGGAGGAGGACAACCCAGUGGAAAUUUCCCUGGAACUGAACCGGGAAGGGUGAGAGAAUUCUAGUACUGAAUCUGAGAUAGAGAUGGAUGAACUUUCUCCAAAGACACAAAGAUGUGAAAGUGAAGUUCAGAUCCAGAGAACCAUGAAUUGUGAAAUUUCAUUUAAAACAAUAAAGGGAAAGGACCUUAGUGAACAAGCAUACCUGUUUUUAGCUCACAUGUAGUUUUCUAAGUAAAAAAUAUUUAAGUGGUUCUUUUUAAGGUGUAGUUUAGUUUCAUUAUACUACUUCCCUGCUCUUACCACUGGGUUUGCUUGAUCUUCACUGCUGAGCCAAAACUAUUUAGAGUAGGAAUACAGUUCCAAGAAUUUCAUAGUAUUCUGUUAGGUCACACACAGAAAACUUUGCAAAGGCAACCAUAUCUUAUAUAAGAAAAAUGAAUUAUAAAAAGAAAGGAGAAAAUAAACAUAUUAGGAGUAGCUCUACACUGAUUAGCUUUGAUAAUUGAUUUUUGAUGCUCAGCCUUUAAGUUGGAUAGGAGAGUGUUAAUAUAAUUUUAUGAUUUACUACUGAAAAUAGAAUGAACUUUUAACCUAAUUAAAAAAAAAAA
rnacentral:lncRNA from 1 species